UUGCUAUUUCUUGGGCCGCUCCCUCGGUAUAUGGAGGUUCCCAGGCUAGGGGUCGAAUCGGAGCUGCAGCCACCGGCCUACGCCAGAGCCACAGCAACGCAGGAUCCGAGCCGCGUCUGCAACCUACACCGCAGCUCACGGCAACGCCGGAUCAUUAACCCACUGAGCAAGGGCAGGGACUGAACCCGCAACCUCAUGGUUCCUAGUCGGAUUUGUUAACCACUGCGCCAUGAUGGGAACUCCUCUUUUUUCUUCUUCUCUUUCUUUUUUUGCUUUUUAAGGCUGCACCCACAUCAUAUGGAGGUUCCCAAUCUAGGGGUUGAAUUGGAGCUGCAGCCGCCGGCCCAUGCCACAGCCAUGCCUGAUCCAAGCCACAUCUUCAACCUACACCACAGCUCAUGGCAACGCCAGAUCCUUAACCCACUGAGCGAGGCCAGGGAUCGAACCUGUGUCCUCAUGGACACUCUUCAGAUUUGUUUCCGCUGAGCAACGACGAGAACUCCUGAAUUGUUUUCUUAAGACUGAUUUGUUUGUCUUCUUGGAUGAUGUGUUUGUUCCGAUGACACAGAAUCUUCAUGUCAAAGGUCAAACACAGCCGGGGUUUGGGAACAUCCAGGAUCUGGUUUCUUAACCAUAGUCUGAGGCUUAUUUCCUAUUUCCCCUUCCUUUGGCGUCAGCAGUCUUAUUUCCAUUGUCAACACGAAGUCCUCAUGGAAGAAAAUAACACCUCCCUGCCUACCCCAUAGUACUAUGAUGCAAAUACUGAAAUGUAGUAUAUGGUUAUAUAUGGGAAACCAAUUUAAUAAUUAGAAAUCUACUUCCGAUUUCAUGUUAUUGUUCUAAAGUUAAAGGAAAGGCAUAUUUGUCUUGGCCUCCUGACUUUGCUUUAGUAGCUGCUAAGAGUUACCAUCUGCUCCGAAAUGAUAAUCAACAGAUAAUAAGUAGGAUUUUCCUACUAUUUAUUUAACUAAGAGCCAAGGGCUUCACUGAGAGGAAAAGAGGCUUCUUGUAAUUUCUGAUGGUCAAAGAAGUACACAAUCAGCACUUUCUAAUGUGUCAGCUGAGCAAGAAUAUGAUCACUUUGCAAUUUAAUGCUAACUUUGAUUUAUAAAGCAGCUACUAUAAUAGCUGGAGAUAGCUAUUUAAUUUUGAGGCACCAGAAUCAAAGAGAUGCGUGGAAGAUGUCAGCAUGGGAUAAUUUUGCUCUUCAUUAUGACUUUGGGGCAUUAAAAUUCUGUUUCUAAAAUUGGAAAUGAAUUAACAAGUGUCUGUUAAAUGAACAAUAGCUGUUUUUUUUAACCUGAGUUGCUUAUGCCAAGAAAAGCGUGGUUUUCAUGUUGAUCAGCAGCAAGUCAUGAAUUUGCUGGGACUUUAAAAUUUACUUUUCAUUAUGUUUCUAGUAUAGAAUGAAAUCCAUAAUAAGUUUGAUUUCAUUUGCUUUUUUAAAAAAUUAGAUGCAGAAAAUGCUUGUGCUCUAGAUCAUAACUGUCGACUGCAUUUAGGCCUCCUGUAACUGAUACAGCUCUCAAACUUUCGUCUCAUCACGUAUAACUCUGAUUUCCAAGUCAAUACAUAGUAAUAAUAAUUAUGCCUAAUACAACUGACUGUAAAAUGAGCCCUAAGGAAACCAUUGAAAUCAUUUUAAGCAUUGUUACAGUCAUUUUGCUGGUUUUUGCUUUUGUAUCUCUGCCUAGAGAUGUUUGCCAUAAGAAGCUGAAAUUAUAUCAAAUAGGAAAAAAACAUGCUGUUUGCCUAUCAACCCCUGCUGCAAGAAGUCAUUUCUUCUGUAUUUUCCCCAAGAUAAUCCCCUCGCAAAAAACGUAUUCUUUCUUGGAAAAUUAAGCCCCAGUCAAGUCCCUCCCCCAAUUCAGAGACCUUUGCUUCGGUGUGGAUGAUUCCAGAUCUGAACAUCUGCGCCUGAAGCCACCUCUCUCUUGAGGUCCAGCCCCACAUGCUGGAUGGAGCACCAGCACUUCCUCCCAGAGCAGCUGGUACCGACUCACAUUGGAACUCGGCACAGGUAAGACGGAGCUCCCCGCCUGCCUCCCUCGGCUCACUGGCUUGGCUGAACCUGGAGCACCCUCUCCCUCCAGCCACCCUGAAAUAUUUUUUUUUUCUUGUAGAUUUUCAGGUUGUAAGUAUUCUUGCAACAACAAAGGCAGAAAUCAUUUUCUUCACCCUUCAAGGCUCAGCUUUUUGCUGGCUUAUCUUCAGCAUAUACCAUAGAACUAGUGUUUUACAUUAUACAUUAAGUUGUGCUUUUAUUAUAUUUAUCA
rnacentral:lncRNA from 1 species